UGCCUUAAGGCACCGAAGCAUCGUCCCCCUCUUCGUCACCGGCGCGACAGGAGGGGCGCGGCUGUACGAAGGCCAAGGCACCUACGGCGCCAUCGCCCUCACCCCUCAGCGCAGGAGAAACAGAGAUGGGCGACGCUGUCAUCCUCGCCUUCAAGCCCUUUGCGACGCCGUCCCCUCGCCUCUGGGCCGUGCAGAAGGACGAGGAGAAGGAGGAGGAGCAGUCCACGACGCCGUGUACAUCCUUACUCCUCCACACACGGGGCGCAGAGAUGGACAAGGAGACUGAGCCAUGUGCGCAGUUGCCGCCAUCGCCUUUCUUGAGGCAAGUUGGAGGGGCGCACAAGGGUAAGGCAGGCCGCAGGAUGAUGGAUGCGAUGCAGUGAGGGGCAGCAGUGUCAUUAGAGGGACCCCUCCUGGUCAAGCCCCAACCCAGAGGCAAGUGCAGCUCCAAGUUCAUGGAGAAAACGGCGGCACAUGUGAGCUGUCUCUUCCUCUUUUCCUCAUCUCCCGGCUGUUAUUCUACUCGCACAGCAACACCGCAGACCUUGCCUAAGGAACUCACAGUUCUCUCUUAGUUCUUGGGAUCUCUGUGCUGUUAACUAUGAAGAGGAAAUUAAGGAAUGGCAGGGACUCUGGUUUGGUUAUGAGGAGUGCUUGGUGGAUGCUUAUGUGAUACUGUUAACGAGCUUAGCUCAAGCUCAAAUAUGGAAGGUCACUAAUUGAAGGUCUGCACAUGUUCAUGUUGGAGCAUUAGAAUAAAUAAAGUGAGUCUUGCAGUAUUUAUUGGGUGAAGUUCUGCAUAUGUAUCUACGUGCGGCGGUGGCGGUUGCUGGAUGAGAGCUGGGUCCUGACCCGGACGCAGCGCCCAUCCCCGUCUCUGGUACCGUCGGAGAGGCGAGGAUGGCGUCGGCCGUGCCGCGGCACGGCUCCAAGGCCACCAGUGUGACAGCGACAACAGCUACAACUUCGUGCCGCUUCUCAGGUUGUAAACUUCCUGAUGUUGUUUCCGGGCUGGUGGAAAGCGGAAAAAGGUUGGGUUCAGAUGGAUUUGAUUUGUUCCAUGUGUACAUCUCCGGUCUUUGCUCCAUCAACCAGCUGUCGAACAGAUGGCGAGCAUGGGAAGGAGGAGUUCAGCACGGGGCUCUUGUCCGUGCUCAUGCUUAGCAUCAAGAACAACACUCAGGCUGGUUUGGUGUUCUUUCAUCUUUUGAGAUCUCGGCUCAGCAAGGAACAGUUUUCUGCAGUACUACUCACUAUCUCUCUUCAUAUAUGUUUGAAUUGAAGGCUUUCCAGCGUUUCUUGUACUUGCGCUUGCUAGAAAUCUAAUCAACUUAGUUGCUUGUUCAACUGUAGUUUCGUGGAUUGCCUUUAGUAAUGCUGCAUUUCGUUCUUGUCCUCUUAGUAUGCAAAGUUAAGUCCACCAUCGCAUAAUAUAUAUGAGUAAUUAACCGUGCUCUGGAGUAAUGCAUUGCGUUCUGUCCUCUUAGUAUGCAAAUUUAAGUGCAUUAUCGGGUAAUUUAUAUGAGUAAUUAACUAUGGUUUCGGCGGCCUUUCGUCAAAUGCCUUUGCCCUUUGGUAGUCGUUUACUACUACAAAGUUAAAUGAAACAUCAUUUAGAUGACUGAUUAUUAAGUGCCAACCAUAGUUUCUGUGCAGCUGUUUAUUUUUUCAGUGUUAAUGUCGCUCUUCUCGCUUCUCUGAGCAUGAUUGUUUCAUAAUUAGCAUAGGAUUUGUAGACAUGGGAAUGCUCAAGUGUCAAUUGUCGUGAGACUAUGAGAACAACAACAUUUACAGAAGGUAGAAUCUGAGCUUCAAGACAAGCAGCCCAUAGUAACCUUAGUUGAGUAGUUCAUCUAUUAUUUUGGACUGACUGAAUGUGGUCUUAUACCAAUCUAAUAUAUGUACUUCUACCUCUGGAAGACUGAAGAGUUGAAUGAUGCAGAGUGUGAAUGAUGAACUUGUACAACUGAUGGGUGGGGAGGGCAGGUCUGCAAGGUGUUGGGAAAACCCUUUCUUGAUGUGAACAGUAUGGUCUGAUAUUAUUGUUAGUUGUCAAUCGAUCCAGGAUUCAAUCUCGUUUGCAAAUUCAAGUGUUUCUCUUGAAGGAUGACGCAAAUCACACGCAAGGAACAUGUUAAUAUGCAUACAAUUGUUCUUCGUGAGUCAUUUGUGCAACAUAUAUAUUUCACCAUAGCAAUUGAAAACUGACUGGUGUGCAGGUUGGUUUUUGUGUGUUCGAAGUUCUACAACUACCAAGGGCUAUUGGUUCUAGAAAUUAUUCACAAGCAUGCAGGCUCUGACCUACUUUUGCCCAAAUAUCUUCUUUGUAGUGAGUUGUGCUGAUUCACAUUAAGGUGCAGCGAACCCGAAAUCAUUUUAUUUUGUCUUCCCAUCGGCUACUUAUAAGAGUUGGGUAUCCGGAUGUUUUUCUAAGAUGUGCACCCUAUUCCUCUGUUUUCACAUUACUAUUUUUCCAUUCUUUAGUUUUAGUGUAUAUGACACAUUUCUUUUGUCUAAGUUAACUCUUCAUUCUUCUCAUAUGCUCUUCCAGAUUGGUUACCUUUUAGACACUCAAGUAAAUGUUCCACAUUUUCUGUGAAGUUUAUUUUCUUGGAGAGUCAUAUAUCUAUGCCAGAUCAUGCUAUUUUAGUUGUGUAUGCUCUCUUUUUUUACUGAAUUUUAUAAAUGUUUGUUGCUUGGAGAAUCACAUUUUUUACUGUUAAUUCACGAGGACUGUAUUUAUAACACUCAUUUAUUUUGAAAGCGAGUAUUAGCAAUAGUCAUUAUCUUUUACCAUUUUAUAACGAGUUGAUAGAAUAAAUUUUCAUAUCAAUGUCCAGUCCCUUGCUCCUCGAAGAAUAUCCGAUUCAUUAUUCCUUUUUGUGUAUUCUUUAUUUCAGGUCCGGAAGAGGAUGUUUCUGCACCUCUAUUAUGCUUACAGAAAAAGGCACCAGGCUAUGGAUUUUCAAGAAUGGGCACAUUCGCUCUCUGGUCUUCUGAUGCAACACUGUAUGUGUCGUCGAAUUUUGGCUUUUGGCUGCUUAGACCAGUCAGAUGCAUUGUGGCCAUUUGUGCUUUGGUUCAAUAAAUGAGGAAACAUAUUUUGUGUGCUUUGUGAUCCACCUUAUAAGACUGCCACCUCUCUGUUAAUAUAGACCUAUGACCUUGCUUU